UACGUAGGGUGCGAGCGUUGUCCGGAAUUAUUGGGCGUAAAGGGAGCGUAGGUGGUUAGGUAAGCCCUCCGGGAAAUCUUCAGGCUUAACCUGAAAAGGUCGGGGGGGACUGCCUGGCUAGAGGACGGGAGAGGAGCGCGGAAUUCCCGGUGUAGCGGUGAAAUGCGCAGAUAUCGGGAGGAACACCAAUGGCGAAGGCAGCUUGCUGGGACGGUACUGACGCUGAGGCGCGAAAGCGUGGGGAGCAAACAGG
rnacentral:rRNA from 1 species